AUCCGAUGUUGAGGAACGAAGGCGUCUGCGAUGGAAGAAUUGCGCUUUCGUUCUUGAAGCUUUGUUUCCAAAUGGUUGUUGCGACUGGGAACCAGCGCGGCGAACGAUAUAUUUUUGUAAGAGAUUCGACCUGAAUGGUUACUUGACCUAACCUCAAUGUAAUGUCAAAAACAACAGACCAAAUCUGUCAGUUUUAAUCUGUCUGUUUCGAAUUGUAAAUGUCUAUGUAUAGAAAGAAAGAUGAAGAUACAGUGAAGAGGCAAACUUUGAAAAGUCGAAAGUAAAAUAGGUUAGAAUUGACAGAGACGAACAUGUCGCAUCAGUUUACCUAGUUGAAACCUAGCUUCAAUAUAAUGUCGAAAACAACAGACCAAAUCUGUCAGUUUUAAUCUGUCUGUUUCGAAUUGUAAAUUCGAUGAAAUGUCUAUGCAUAGAAAGAAAGAUGAAGAUUCAAUUCAGUGGAGAGACAGAUUUAAAGGCAAACUUCGAAAAAUCGAACGUAGUAGAGGUUAGAAUUAACAAAGACGUUGAUCUAUCUAAUCCAAACUCAAACCUAACCUAAACCUAACCUCAAUGUAAUGUCAAAAACAACAGACCAAAUCUGUCAGUUUUAAUCAGUCUGUUUCAAAUUAUAAAUUCGAUGAAAUAUCUAUGCAUAGAAAGAAAAAUGAAGAUUCAGUGGAGAUGCAAACUUCGAAAAAUCGAAAGUAAAAUAGGUUAGAAUUGACAAAGACGAACAUGUCGCAUCAGUCUACUUAGUUGAAACCUAACCUCAAUAUAAUGUCAAAAACAACAGACCAAAUCUGUCAGUUUUAAUCAGUCUGUUUCAAAUUGUAAAUUCGAUGAAAUGUCUAUGCAUAGAAAGAAAGAUGAAGAUUCACUGGAGAGGCAAACUUUGAAAAAUCGAAAGUAAAAUAGGUUAGAAUUGACAAAGACGAACAUGUUGCGUCAGUCUACCUAGUCGAAACCUAACCUCAAUAUAAUGUCAAAAACAACAGACUAAAUGUGUCAGUUCUAAUCACUCUGUUUCAAAUUGUAAAUUCGAUGAAAUGUCUAUGUAUAGAAAGAAAGAUGAAGAUUCAGUGGAGAGGCAAACUUCGAAAAGUCGAAAGUAAAAUAGGUUAGAAUUGACAAAGACGAACAUGUCGCAUCAGUCCACCUAGUCGAAAUCUAACCUCAAUGUAAUGUCAAAAACAACAGACCAAUCUGUCAGUUUUAAUCAGUCUUUUUCAAAUUGUAAAUUCGAUGAAAUGUUUAUGCAUAGAAAGAAAGAUAAAGAUUCAGUAGAGAGGCAAACUUCGAAAAAUCGAAAGUAAAAUAGGUUAGAAUUAACAAAGACGAAACUUUUAGACACUUUAGAAAGACAGUUGGAGAAUCAAAAACGGGCGUAUUUUAUUAUCACAAUGGAAUCAAAAAGUUUUCAUGAGGCGUCGAAAAAAAAAAAAAAAAAAAA